GUGUGACCCUGCGAAGUGCACCUCCCUUGCUCAAAUCGGAGGGGUCUGGUCCUCACUGAACAGCCCGCUGAACAUCUCGGUGUCCUCUCACAUACACACCCGCGGGGGGUUUCCAGAGCAUCGCACCUCUUCCAGCCCAGGGAGCCGCCUGCUCUGCUAAACUCUAUGGGAACUGAGACAUCCACCUGCUGCGUGACCCACCCGUGCGCAACUUCAGAGCUUUCAGGGGGUGAUGCGGGCUGUGGCUCCUUCGUGAAAAUGUCACCGUCUGCAGCGCCUUUCUUGUGAUAUAGAACUUGACGGGUUCCUGCGAAUUAAGUUGCAAAUAUUGAUGAAGAUAAUACUACUGCCUUGCUGUCAAACAGUAACAGUCACCUUUUUUUGUAUCUCCAAUUAUAAAUGCAAUGCGUACUGUAAAAAGAAAAGAAAACAUCAUAAAUAUCUUUAUAAAGUAAAA
ensembl:lncRNA novel transcript